rnacentral:rRNA from 1 species
GAUGAACGCUGGCGGCGUGCCUAAUACAUGCAAGUCGAGCGAACAGACGAGGAGCUUGCUCCUCUGACGUUAGCGGCGGACGGGUGAGUAACACGUGGAUAACCUACCUAUAAGACUGGGAUAACUUCGGGAAACCGGAGCUAAUACCGGAUAAUAUAUUGAACCGCAUGGUUCAAUAGUGAAAGACGGUUUUGCUGUCACUUAUAGAUGGAUCCGCGCCGCAUUAGCUAGUUGGUAAGGUAGCGGCUUACCAAGGCAACGAUGCGUAGCCGACCUGAGAGGGUGAUCGGCCACGCUGGAACUGAGACACGGUCCAGACUCCUACGGGAGGCAGCAGUAGGGAAUCUUCCGCAAUGGGCGAAAGCCUGACGGAGCAACGCCGCGUGAGUGAUGAAGGUCUUCGGAUCGUAAAACUCUGUUAUUAGGGAAGAACAAAUGUGUAAGUAACUAUGCACGUCUUGACGGUACCUAAUCAGAAAGCCACGGCUAACUACGUG